rnacentral:rRNA from 1 species
AGUGAACGCUGGCGGUAGGCCUAACACAUGCAAGUCGAACGGCAGCACAGUAAGAGCUUGCUCUUACGGGUGGCGAGUGGCGGACGGGUGAGGAAUACAUCGGAAUCUACUUUUUCGUGGGGGAUAACGUAGGGAAACUUACGCUAAUACCGCAUACGACCUACGGGUGAAAGCAGGGGAUCUUCGGACCUUGCGCGAUUGAAUGAGCCGAUGUCGGAUUAGCUAGUUGGCGGGGUAAAGGCCCACCAAGGCGACGAUCCGUAGCUGGUCUGAGAGGAUGUGAGGCCACACUGGAACUGAGACACGGGCCAGACUCCUAUGGGAGGCAGCGGUGGGGGAUAUUGGACAAUGGGCGCAAGACUGAUCCAGCCAUACCGCGUGUGUGAAGAAAGCCUUCGGGUUGUAAAACCCCUUUGUUUGGAAAGAAAAGCAGCAGGUUAAAACCCCGCUGUUCUGACGGUACCCAAAGAAUAAGCACAGGCUAACUUCGUG